rnacentral:rRNA from 1 species
GAUGAACGCUGGCGGCGUGCCUAACACAUGCAAGUCGCGCGAUUUACUUCGGUAAAGAGCGGCGGACGGGUGAGUAACGCGUGGUAACCUGCCCUGUACACACGGAUAACAUACCGAAAGGUAUGCUAAUACGAGAUAAUAUGCUUUUAUCGCAUGGUAGAAGUAUCAAAGCUUUUGCGGUACAGGAUGGACCCGUGUCUGAUUAGCUAGUUGGUAAGGUAACGGAAUACCAAUGCGACGAUCAAUAGCCGACCUGAGAGAGUGAUCGGGCACAGUGGAACUGAGACACGGUCAAAACUGCUACGGGAGGCAGCAUUGGGGAAUAUUGCAAAAUGGGCGAAAGCCUGAGGCCGCAAAACAGCGUGAACGAUGAAGGCCUUCGGGUCGUAAAGCUCUGUCCUCAAGGAAGAUAAUGACGGUACUUGAGGAGGAAGCCCCGGCUAACUACGUGCCAGAAGCUGCGGUAA